UACGAAGGGGGCUAGCGUUGCUCGGAAUCACUGGGCGUAAAGGGUGCGUAGGCGGGUCUUUAAGUCAGGGGUGAAAUCCUGGAGCUCAACUCCAGAACUGCCUUUGAUACUGAAGAUCUUGAGUUCGGGAGAGGUGAGCGGAACUGCGAGUGUAGAGGUGAAAUUCGUAGAUAUUCGCAAGAACACCAGUGGCGAAGGCGGCUCACUGGCCCGAUACUGACGCUGAGGCACGAAAGCGUGGGGGGCAAACAGG
rnacentral:rRNA from 1 species